AGAAUAAGUCUCUAACGUAACAAAAUGUGGCAAAAGUCAAGGGUUCUGAAUACUUUCCAAUGCACUGUAUUUAUGUUUGGAAAACACAAUUGAAGGCCAAAAUUAUGGGGAGGAAAGCACUCAUGUUUACCCAACAUAGUAAUCACCCUAGAAAGGUGGUGACCCUGGAACCCAUUGACCCGGAUCCCCCCCAAUAUGCAACACAGAGUUAAGCCCUUGGCUGGAGUUACAAAUGCUUAUGAUUCUAUUAUGAGUUCCUCAUUUAAAUGACUCUUGUAGAUUAUGUAGAACUAGAGUAAGACCACAGCUAGCUUCACUGAAAAGGAAAGCAUGAAUAGGGGAGCAGUAGUAAGUAGUCUAGGCUACUGGAUACAGUAGAGACAUUUCUUUACCCCCAGACAAAUCUGUCGACAACUUCUGUUUGGCUACCUUUGUUGCCAUGGCAUUUAAAUGAUUUAGGAGUCUUGUUUGAUUGGUUGAGUCUGUUUGUUACCUGGGGACUGUCUACAAGAGUUGGUGAGGUAAGCAGCCCUUCGCCUUUCGACACUAGUUCAGAACCACCGGUGUAGACACUGCAGAAUAUUCGAGAACUUUGGUCUCGUGACGCUGCGAGUAUCAUGGCCACGCUAAGUGCCAAGCCUGGGCUCAGGUACAGUGUGUCCGACUGGGACCCCAGUAACAAGCUGAUGUCUGACACAGCAGAACAGAGGCGACACAUCUCACAUGAGACACGCCAGGAAGGGAAGACCUUACGCAAUGAGACAACCAGCAAGCACUCACAAACUUCUACAGAUGCACAAUCGAGAGCAUCCUGUCGGGCUGU